UACGGAAGGUGCAAGCGUUAUCCGGAUUCACUGGGUUUAAAGGGUGCGUAGGUGGGUUGGUAAGUCAGUGGUGAAAUCCCCGAGCUUAACUCAGGAACUGCCAUUGAUACUAUCAGUCUUGAAUACCGUGGAGGUCAGCGGAAUAUGUCAUGUAGCGGUGAAAUGCUUAGAUAUGACAUAGAACACCAAUUGCGAAGGCAGCUGGCUACACGAAUAUUGACACUGAGGCACGAAAGCGUGGGGAUCAAACAGG
rnacentral:rRNA from 1 species